CGACCUCAGAGCAGGCGAGACUACCCGCUGAAUUUAAGCAUAUUACUAAGCGGAGGAAAAGAAACUAACAAGGAUUCCCCCAGUAGCGGCGAGCGAACAGGGAAGAGUCCAGCACCGAACCCCGCAGGCUGCCGCCUGUCGUGGCAUGUGGUGUUUGGGAGGGUCCACUACCCCGACGCCUCGCGCCGAGCCCAAGUCCAACUUGAAUGAGGCCACGGCCCGUAGAGGGUGCCAGGCCCGUAGCGGCCGGUGCGAGCGUCGGCGGGACCUCUCCUUCGAGUCGGGUUGCUUGAGAGUGCAGCUCCAAGUGGGUGGUAAACUCCAUCUGAGACUAAAUAUGACCACGAGACCGAUAGCGAACAAGUACCGUGAGGGAAAGUUGAAAAGAACUUUGAAGAGAGAGUUCAAAAGUACGUGAAACCGUUCUGGGGUAAACGUGAGAAGUCCGAAAGGUCGAACGGGUGAGAUUCACGCCCAUCCGGCCACUGGCCUCCGCCCUCGGCAGAUGGGGCCGGCCGCCCGCGCGGAGCAAUCCGCGGCGGGGUCGUGUCCGGUUGCCUUUCCACUCGCCGCGGGGUGGGGCCGUUCCGGUGUGCGGUGGGCCGCACUUCUCCCCUAGUAGGACGUCGCGACCCGCUGGGUGCCGGCCUACGGCCCGGGUGCGCAGCCUGUCCUUCCGCGGGCCUCGGUUCGCGUCUGUUGGGCAGAGCCCCGGUGUCCUGGCUGGCUGCCCGGCGGUAUAUCUGGAGGAGUCGAUUCGCCCCUUUGGGCGCUCGGGCUCCCGGCAAGCGCGCGCGGUUCUUCCCGGAUGACGGACCUACCUGGCCCGGCCCCGGACCCGCGCCGCUGUUGGCUCGGGAUGCUCUCGGGCGGAAUAAUCGCUCCCGUCAGCGGCGCUUCAGCUUUGGACAAUUUCACGACCCGUCUUGAAACACGGACCAAGGAGUCUAACAUGUGCGCGAGUCAUUGGGCUGUACGAAACCUAAAGGCGUAAUGAAAGUGAAGGUCUCGCCUUGCGCGGGCCGAGGGAGGAUGGGGCUUCCCCGCCCUUCACGGGGCGGCGGCCUCCGCACUCCCGGGGCGUCUCGUCCUCAUUGCGAGGUGAGGCGCACCUAGAGCGUACACGUUGGGACCCGAAAGAUGGUGAACUAUGCCUGGCCAGGACGAAGUCAGGGGAAACCCUGAUGGAGGUCCGUAGCGAUUCUGACGUGCAAAUCGAUCGUCGGAGCUGGGUAUAGGGGCGAAAGACUAAUCGAACCAUCUAGUAGCUGGUUCCCUCCGAAGUUUCCCUCAGGAUAGCUGGUGCUCGUACGAGUCUCAUCCGGUAAAGCGAAUGAUUAGAGGCCUUGGGGCCGAAACGACCUCAACCUAUUCUCAAACUUUAAAUGGGUGAGAUCUCCGGCUUGCUUGAUAUGCUGAAGCCGCGAGCAAACGACUCGGAUCGGAGUGCCAAGUGGGCCACUUUUGGUAAGCAGAACUGGCGCUGUGGGAUGAACCAAACGCCGAGUUAAGGCGCCCGAAUCGACGCUCAUGGGAAACCAUGAAAGGCGUUGGUUGCUUAAGACAGCAGGACGGUGGCCAUGGAAGUCGGAAUCCGCUAAGGAGUGUGUAACAACUCACCUGCCGAAGCAACUAGCCUUGAAAAUGGAUGGCGCUGAAGCGUCGUGCCUAUACUCGGCCGUCAGUCUGGCAGUCAUGGCCGGUCCUUGCGGCCGGCCGCGAAGCCCUGACGAGUAGGAGGGUCGCGGCGGUGGGCGCAGAAGGGUCUGGGCGUGAGCCUGCCUGGAGCCGCCGUCGGUGCAGAUCUUGGUGGUAGUAGCAAAUACUCCAGCGAGGCCCUGGAGGGCUGACGCGGAGAAGGGUUUCGUGUGAACAGCCGUUGCACACGAGUCAGUCGAUCCUAAGCCCUAGGAGAAAUCCGAUGUUGAUGGGGGCCGUCAUAGCAUGAUGCACUUUGUGCUGGCCCCCGUUGGGCGAAAGGGAAUCCGGUUCCUAUUCCGGAACCCGGCAGCGGAACCGAUACAAGUCGGGCCCCUCUUUUAGAGAUGCUCGUCGGGGUAACCCAAAAGGACCCGGAGACGCCGUCGGGAGAUCGGGGAAGAGUUUUCUUUUCUGCAUGAGCGUUCGAGUUCCCUGGAAUCCUCUAGCAGGGAGAUAGGGUUUGGAACGCGAAGAGCACCGCAGUUGCGGCGGUGUCCCGAUCUUCCCCUCGGACCUUGAAAAUCCGGGAGAGGGCCACGUGGAGGUGUCGCGCCGGUUCGUACCCAUAUCCGCAGCAGGUCUCCAAGGUGAAGAGCCUCUAGUCGAUAGAAUAAUGUAGGUAAGGGAAGUCGGCAAAUUGGAUCCGUAACUUCGGGAUAAGGAUUGGCUCUGAGGAUCGGGGCGUGUCGGGCUUGGUCGGGAAGUGGGUCAGCGCUAACGUGCCGGGCCUGGGCGAGGUGAGUGCCGUAGGGGUGCCGGUAAGUGCGGGCGUUUAGCGCGGGCGUGGUCUGCUCUCGCCGUUGGUCGGCCUCGUGCUGGCCGGCGGUGCAGGAUGCGCGCGCCUGCGCGGCGUUCGCGCCCCGGUGCUUCAACCUGCGUGCAGGAUCCGAGCUCGGUCCCGUGCCUUGGCCUCCCACGGAUCUUCCUUGCUGCGAGGCCGCGUCCGCCUUAGCGUGCUCCUCCGGGGGCGCGCGGGUGCGCGGAUUCUCUUCGGCCGCCAUUCAACGAUCAACUCAGAACUGGCACGGACUGGGGGAAUCCGACUGUCUAAUUAAAACAAAGCAUUGCGAUGGCCCUAGCGGGUGUUGACGCAAUGUGAUUUCUGCCCAGUGCUCUGAAUGUCAACGUGAAGAAAUUCAAGCAAGCGCGGGUAAACGGCGGGAGUAACUAUGACUCUCGCUCCUGAGUGCCUAUGGGGGCCGGUCACACGUGAGGAGGUCGCUGCUGCCUUGCCGCCCAGGGGAUCGGCAGCCGGGCCGGACGGCCUGACUCCAGCGGAGCUGCGGCGCCUGCCGCAUGAAGUCCUGGUGAAACUCUUGAACCUCUUCCUCCUGGCCCGCGCCCUCCCCGAGCGUCUGCUUCGCGCCCGGACGUCACUUCUCCCCAAAACGGCUGCACCAACAUCCCCCGCUGACUUUCGCCCCAUUACGGUCUGCUCGGUGUUGGCGCGGACCUUUCACAAGGUUCUCGCGUCACGCCUGAUGCGUGCAUGUGCUGUGGACGAACGUCAGCGGGCAUUCAUCCCCCGGGAUGGGAUGUUGGAAAACACCUUCAUCUUGGACACUGCUCUCACCGACGCAGUCCGCUCCUGUCGCUCUGUUUUUGUGGCAUCGAUCGACGUCUCUAAAGCGUUCGAUUCGGUGGACCAUGCUGCCCUCCGCCCCGUGCUGAGGGCUCAUGGCCUGCCAGAUUGCUUUAUUGAGUACGUCGAAAGGUGUUACGAGGGUAGCACGACAGUGAUAGCGGGCGGCGCCGACGUGGGCGUGCCCCUGCAGCCGGCUAGGGGUGUGCGUCAGGGUGACCCCCUCUCCCCCCUCCUUUUCAAUUUUGCGGUGGACUAUGUUUUGAGUCAACUUCCCUCCCACAUCGGAGCUCGGAUCCUUGGUCGCAGAGUUAACGCUGCGGCCUUCGCAGAUGACGUCCUGCUUUUUGCAUCGACCGCGAGGGGAUUGCAGUCCCUCAUCGACGCAGCCGUCGCAGCCCUCGCCCAUCUGGGGCUGCAGAUCAACGCCCGGAAGUGUUUCACCCUCGCCUUAGUCGCGUCUGGGCGCGACAAGAAGGUGAAGGUCGACGCCGACGUUACCUUCAAAGCGGGCAACGCCACCGUGCCCGCCCUACGUGUGGGUGAAACCUUCCGGUACCUGGGACUGCAAUUCUCCACCGCUGGUCGCUGCGUUUUCAACCCACGACGCCACCUGGUGGAGCAGCUGGACGUCAUCUCCCGAGCUCCGCUCAAGCCGCAACAGCGCCUCCACGCCCUCACCACCGUACUUCUGCCUGGCCUGUACCAUGGGCUGGCCCUCAGCCGCACCCGAGUGGGUGCGUUGAAAGCGGCAGAUGUGACCAUCCGUGCCGCCGUCAGGAGAUGGUUCCGCCUUCCGGCGGACACUCCCCUGGGCUACUUCCACGCUCCUGUAGCCCAGGGAGGCCUCGGCAUCCCAUCAUGCCGAUGGAUGGGGCCAACACUUCGCCGGUCCCGUCUCCUGGCGCUGAAGAGGAUUGGGCCAGCCGCCGACGGUGCAGGCCGGGACGAGGUGCAGCGUGAGAUUGAGGUGCUGGAGCGGCAUCUUAUGUGGGAGGGCCACCUCCUCAAAUCGUCGACGCAGGUUGGAGAGAUGUGGGCCGCGCGCCUGCACGUUGCCUUUGACGGUGCGGCGCUGUCAUCUUCCGCCGCCGUCAAGGGGCAACACCAGUGGGUCGCUGACACCAGUCGCCUGCUAUCUGGGCGUAACUUCAUCGACGCUCUCCGCGCCCGCAUCAACGCCUUCCCCACGAAGGCACGGCGCAGUCGCGGGCGGGAGGCGGACACCAGAUGCCGCGCGGGCUGCCAGGCCGUAGAGACCGCCAACCACGUGUUACAGGCUUGCUUCAGGACGCACGGGUCCCGGGUUAAGCGGCAUGACGCGAUCGUGCGCUAUGUCGCCCGUGGACUCGCGCAGAGGGGCUUCAACGUCUCUGUGGAGCCCCACCUCCGCACACCUGAGGGAAUCCGCAAGCCUGACGUGGUGGCGGUUAAAGACGGCAUCGCCCGCGUCAUCGACGCCCAGGUAGUCGGAGACCAUCUCCGGCUCGACUGGUGUCACUCCGAGAAAGCGGCCUACUACAACACGCCGUCCAUCAGGCGUGCCAUCUCCAACCUGCACCGUGACGUUGAGGAGGUUACAGUGUCCACCGCGACAUUGAAUUGGAGGGGUGUAUGGUCUCCAGCGUCGGCCGGAGAUCUCUCCGCACUUGGAUUUAGACCCCGAGAACUGGCGGUGCUUAGCACAAGAGUACUGCAAAGCUGCUGCACGAGCUAU